ensembl:lncRNA
AUGCUGGUACCUCCCUUUGUUUGGAGUUUACCACCGAAGAAACCUGCCAAAAUUAGGGUCGUAUUCGACUCAAGCGCCCCAUAUGAAGGAGUCUCUCUCAACGACGUGUUGCUAACAGGCCCCGACCUCAACAACAGUCUUGUUGGGGUGCUCAUAAGAUUCAGAAAGGAGCAGGUGGCCAUAACGGCGGACAUUGAACACAUGUUCCACUGUUUUGUUGUCAAAGAGAGCCACAGAGACUUUCUCCGCUUCUUGUGGUACAAAGAUAAUGACAUGUCAUCUGAAGUUAGAGAGUAUCGCAUGCGGGUGCACAUUUUUGGGAACAGUCCCUCCCCUUCUGUCGCCAUAUAUGGGUUGAAGAAAGCAGCAGCGACUGGUGAGCCAGAUUUUGGGAGUGAGGUGCGGACAUUCAUUGAGCGAGAUUUCUAUGUCGAUGACGCUCUCAAGUCAUUUUCUACUGAAGAAAAGGCUAUACAAGUUCUCCAACAAGCUCAACAGGCUCUUGCUUCCUCAAAUCUCAGACUACACAAAGUCAUCUCCAACCGACCUACGGUCCUAGAGGCUUUUCCACCAGAAGACAGGGCAAAAAAUAUUGGAAACUUGGACCUGUGUGCUCAAGACUUGCCAGUGCAACGCAGUUUAGGGCUGCUGUGGAAUGUUAACACGGACACUUUCACAUUCAAAGUUGAAAACGAGCAAAAGGCCUUCACGUGUAGAGGUGUCCUCUCUACUGUUAAUAGUCUCUACGGCCCCCUAGGGUUUCUCGCUCCAAUCACAAUUCAAGGCAGGCUGAUUCUCAGAGAACUUACCAGCUUGACGGAUGACUGGGAUGCAGCACUCCCAGACAGCAUGAAAGCAGAGUGGAGCAUUUGGAAGGACUCACUUCGAGAUUUAGAAGGUCUCCAAAUACCACGCCCCUACACUUCCCUCUCUACAUCUGGCGCUCAAACCAAAAAACUUUGUGUAUUUGCCGAUGCAUCCGUGAAAGCCAUUGCAGCUGUCGCUUACAUCAAACUGUCUACUUCAAACGAAACAGAAAUCGGCUUUGUGUUUGGGAAAACAAAGCUAGCUCCUCAAGCCGGCCUCACAAUUCCAAGGCUAGAGUUAUGUGCUGCAGUGCUUGCAGUUGAAGUUGCGGAGCUGAUAGUAGCGGAAAUAGACAUCACUUUUGACGACAUUGAGUACUACACUGACAGUAAAGUCGUGCUAGGCUACAUCCACAAUCAGUCACGAAGAUUUUAUGUGUACGUGCAUAACAGGGUCCAACGCAUCCUCCAAUCAACAUGCUCCAACCAGUGGAAACAUGUUCCAUCCGAACUCAACCCAGCAGAUUAUGGGUCCCGCUCUGUUGCAGCAGCGCAACUGAGCAGCACAACAUGGUUUAAAGGGCCGGCCUUUCUCCUCAAACCGUCUGCACAGCCACAAUCUCCGGUCACGUUUGACCUUGUGGAUCCCGCCCUUGAUACGGAAAUACGUCCGCUGGUGGCAACAAAUCUGACACAAGCCACAAAGUCAACAGUAAGUUCACCUCAUUUUGAGAAGUUUUCCAACUACAGUCCUCUCCUCAGAGCAGUUGCCCGCUUGAUCCACAUUGCUCGUUCCUUUGGUCAAUCCAACCAAGCAUCCAGCUGUCGUGGUUGGCAUCUCUGUCAACCCACGGUGGAAGAAUUGGAAAAUGCGAAGGUUUGCAUCAUAAAGAGUGUUCAGAGUGAGUGCUACAAAAGGGAAAUAAAGUGUAUUCAGGAAGGAAUCAAGAUUUCCUCCUCAAGCAGUCUCUGGAAACUGCAUCCGAUUUUAGACAGUAAUGGACUCUUAAGAGUUGGGGGCCGGAUCAUACAAUCUGAACUGGGCAUCGACACCACUAACCCUCUCAUCAUCCCUGCCCGACACCACUUGGGAAUGCUCUUAAUACGGCACUAUCACGAGACUGUGAAACACCAAGGAAGACAUUUCACAGAAGGUGCCAUUAGAGCUGCAGGGUUCUGGAUGGUAGGGGCCAAAAGGGCUAUCAGUUCAGUGCUUUUUAAGUGUGUCACAUGCAAGAAAUUGAGAGGAAAAGCAGAAUGUCAGCAAAUGGGAAACUUACCAUCUGAACGAAUGCGAGUUGCACCCCCCUUCACAUAUGUAGGUGUAGACAUGUUCGGGCCAUGGGACAUUGUAACAUGGCGCACGAGAGGAGGACAAGCUAGCUCUAAAAGGUGGGCCGUGAUGUUCUCAUGUCUGUCAACAAGAGCAGUCCAUAUCAAGUUGAUCGAAUCAAUGAGCACAGACAGCUUCAUAAAUGCUUUAAGGCGGCUUUUUGCAAUCAGAGGCCCGGCAAGACAACUAUGA